rnacentral:sRNA from 1 species
CCCAGACAGAAGAGACCACGGUAAAGAUCAGCAGACGGCUUCUGUGGGAACAAAGACAGGGAAAGGGGAAAUGAGUUCACCAGAAACCAACAGGCAGCACAGGAGGUGGUAAACCCGAAAAAGAAAAUGAAGAAAAAGAAAUACGUGAAUUCUGGCACAGACCCAGAUCAACUUCACUGUGGCCAUUGAUUUCACUGCCUCCAAUGGGAACCCCUCACAGUCCACAUCCCUGCACUACAUGAGCCCCUACCAGCUGAACGCCUACGCGCUGGCGCUGACUGCCGUCGGAGAGAUCAUCCAGCACUACGACAGUGACAAGAUGUUCCCUGCCCUGGGCUUCGGGGCCAAGCUGCCCCCGGAUGGCAGAGUGUCCCACGAGUUCCCGCUGAAUGGCAACCAGGAGAACCCCUCAUGCUGCGGCAUCGACGGCAUCCUGGAGGCCUACCACCGCAGCCUGCGCACCGUGCAGCUGUACGGCCCCACCAACUUUGCCCCCGUGGUCACCCACGUGGCCAGGAAUGCAGCGGCCGUGCAGGACGGCUCCCAGUACUCGGUGCUGCUCAUCAUUACUGAUGGGGUCAUCUCGGACAUGGCGCAGACCAAGGAGGCCAUUGUCAACGCACAGCCUGGUUUCCUUUGCUCUUUAUCUCUGAGUGCCCUCCCUCUCCCUACCCCCUUUUCUGUGUUCCUCUGUCUCUCCAUGUUCACUCUCCCAUUUCUUUCCUGCUCACCCCUUCCUGUCCUACCCCUGAUUUCUCCUUCCUUUUAACUGGGUCCCAAUCGGGUCCAACCUUCCCCUGCCCCCCAUGCUGUCUCCCAGGCUGCCAAGCUCCCCAUGUCCAUCAUUAUCGUCGGCGUGGGCCAGGCAGAGUUCGACGCCAUGGUGGAGCUGGAUGGCGACGACGUGCGGAUCUCCUCCCGGGGGAAGCUGGCUGAACGCGACAUCGUCCAG